AUGUUUAUUCUCAGACGUCAAUAAGUCUUGGAUACAUUUCUGUGAAUUGGCAGAAACUGUUUCUGUUGCAGGUUGGUAACCAGGGUGGAAAUAAAACUGGCAUUAAGGUGUUGUUCAAAGAGCAGCGUGUAAACGAGAUGCUGCUGUGCUAUGGCGACUGAGUGUUUUCAGAUACAGUCUGCUGGACAGCAAGCUGAGCAAACAGAGCAAACUAACCAGGCUUUAUCAGCCUGUUGCCUUAGUUUUCACUGUUUUCAGCCGAUGGCUCAAACAAGGCUGAAGAAACGAGACGGUGAGUACAAAUUAGUAAAAAAAUAUGCAGGUGCAUCUUUUAUUUUAGAAAGAAAACUGGCUCUCCAAGCAGCAGGAAGCAUAAAUUAUUGGUUUUGUUUAAACAGAAGAGAUAAAUAUUGUGGUUUAAACCAAUAAAAUGUUACAUUUCGGUAUUGAUUCACCCAGACGUUACCUGCGUUUCCCCACCUAUGUUCAGCAGACGUUUUAUUUAUUUGCCAUAAUAACCAAAUAAAAGCAGAUAAACAUUAAGAGCGACGUGUAAGGUGAGACACAGAAAUGACACACAGAUGGGAGGGCUAAAAAUGAUAAGAGGGUCAUUGAAAGAUAAAUAUCCUCCACAAGGGAAGACAGUCGUCACAGACAGCCUCUCUGCAGCAGCAAAAAAUCGAAAAUAAAACAACGUCACUACUCUGGAAAAAUGCUCAAACAUUUUCUGGUAGCGGCUCUUUGCCUCCUCGCCACAGUAAAUCUGUGUGGAACAGAAUCAACCAGCUCACCUACUGCUGCACCUACUACGCCAGCACCACCAACAACACAAAACUCCACAGACAACAGUACUGGACCUUCAGAUGAUCCACCAACCUCAACCCCAACUGAUGCACCAACCACAUUCAGCCAAACUGAUGGAACUGGUUCACCAUCCACAGACCCCUCAAACUCAACCACAGUCAUUCCCACGUCGGCACCAGGCUCGUCAGGGCUGUCCGGAGGGGCAAUAGCCGGCAUCACCAUUGGUACCAUCGCCGGGGCGGGCUUAUUGGGUGGCGGCGUCUACGGUCUGCUGAAAUACACUAAAAAAAUCUGAGAACAAUUCCCCCCAUCAAGGACUUAGAUGUUGAAAUAUCGCAAGCUGCAACGUUUUCUAUGAUCCGAUCUGACUAGCGGGAUGGGGAGGAGGCGGGCUUUUCUCAAAGGAUCUGAAUAAAACCGUCAGUGAAAGCUUCAUGGCCCACCAGGAAUAAAUCCAUUAUAGUUUCUUUAUCGCACUUCUUUAAGUCAGACAGUAAUUUUGAUGAUGAUUUUAACGUAACAGCAAAUGCACUGCGUAUUUAAAGGUUUCUGUCUGCAUUGAGUGGGAUAAAUGUGUCGACCAGAAGGUUUUGUUGUCAUUUAUGAAUAUAUGUGAAAAACUAUAAUUAAGAUUAUGAAUAAUUGAUGAUAUUUAGUGUGAUGAAUAGCCAUCUUGGCAUAUUUACAGACUCGCUCAUUUUCACUCUUUCAGCCUUAAU